GGCGGGAUAGCUCAGACGGUAGAGCAGAGGACUGAAAAUCCUUGUGUCGGCGGUUCAAUUCCGCCUCCCGCCACCU
rnacentral:tRNA from 1 species